rnacentral:lncRNA from 1 species
AGAUUAGCUCCUAUCAGUGGGUAGCCCUCUAGGGAGAGAACUGUCAGAGGGUUUUGUUCACACCUUGUUUCAAAUGCUGCUGCUCCUUCAGGACUGUGGACACGGAGACCUGCUUCCUAAGACUUCCCUCCCCACUUGGCAAUCAUCUUGAAUUUGUAUUAGAAGUAAGGAAAUGGGACUGCUUUCUCCAAAUAUUUAUAAUGACUUUAUUGCUCUGAAUUGCCACACAUCAGAGAGAACUUUUAACCAUUAGGGGUCUUGACUUCCUAUUUGUGAAAAGUGGAGUGACUCUGAUCAAGAAGGCUCAACUCCUUUUGUUCUGUCAAUGACCUGGGCAAUGUACUCAAUCUCUUUGAAAAGAUCCAAUCAAGAGGUUGGAGAUCACAGGAAUGGCAUCAUGUCAUGAUGGCCAUAGGGGAGCCACACCAGCUGUACUGUCCCCAGUGGAAAGAGCCAGGACCCAGGACAGGCAGUGACAGCUUCCCAGGACCACCCUUAUCCUGGCUUCUUUUCCACCUGCCUCUAGGAAGCUUAAGCUUCUAGCUUUCCUAAACAAGGAUGGUGUCUACAUUUGUGAACCAGAGAGGAACUCUGCAUGAAGUCUUGAAAGGUGUUUCCAGAGAGAAAACUGAUUCAAGAUAGGCUGAGUGAAUAUGGCCCUCACCCCUAACCAGUGUAGGUGGGCCUAAUCUAAUCCACUGAGGACUGGAAGAGGAUGAAAAAAUGAAGGGAGGCUGACUUUGGUCUCUGCUUGAGCUGGGACUCCUGUCUUCCUCAGGCAUCAGCGUUUCCCGUUCUCAGGCCUUUGGUCUUGGACCAGGAUGUUCGUGAAUCUCUCUCUCCAGACUCAGUAAUAGGAAAAUAAACAACCCAAUUAAAAAUGGGCAAAGUUUAAACAUUUCUCCAAAGAAGAUAUUCAGACCUCAAAUGUACGUAUAAAAAGAUGCUCAACAUCCUCAGAUAGUAGGAAAAUUAAAAGUCUAAUGAGGUAGCACUAUACAGCUAUUAGAAUUCCUAAAAGAAUAUGACAGUUAUCAAGUGCUGACAAAAAAGUGGAGCAACUGAAACUUGCGUGUAUCGCUGAGAGAGGAUAAAAUAUGGUGCAGACACGUGUUUGGAAAUUUCUUAUAAUGUUAAAAUAGAUUUAUUGUACUACCCAGCAUGAUCGCCACCCAAGAGAAAUGAAAACUCAACGUUACACAAAAACCUGUAUGUGAAUAUAUAGAGAAGGUUUAUUCACAACUGCCAAAAACUGGACGUAAGUCAAAUGUCUUUCAUUUCUAUGUAAACAAACUGGGAUACAUCCAGGUAAUGGAAUACUACUCAGCAAUAAAAAGGAACAAACUUCUGAUAGACACACAAUGUAUGAAUCUAAAAUGUAUUAUGGUAAGAAAAAGAACCUACACUACAAAGGCUUAUAUGACAUUCUGGAAAAGGCAAAACCAUAGGGAAGAGAAUUGAUUAAGGGGUUGGGGCAAAGAUUGACCACGAAGAGACAUGAGAUAAUGUUUUGGGUGAUAGAACUGUUCUAUAUCUUGAGUGUGGUAAUGGUCACAUUAUUGUCAAAACUCACAGAACUGUAGAUUAAAAGCGGUGAAUUUACUGUAUAUAUAUUGUACUUCAAUAAAUUUAAUUAAAGUAAAACUUGGG